UCUGCCCCAAAUUGAACCCUAUUCCACAAGUCCUCCUCCAAGACCAGCGCCGCCGCCGCCGCCCUCGACCUCCUCCACCAACCAGUGCGCCCCCCAUCGGCGUACGCGCCUCAUGACGCCGACUCGUCAUCGCCUUCCUUCGGCACCGCCACCGGGGCGGGUCAACUGUGGCGGUGUGUCGAGGUCGAAGUCAACGUCGCCUCCCUCUCCAGCCCUAGAUCCCGUGGCGAAAAUCGCCACCACCAUACCGGCGCGCUCUUCUCCAUGGCCCUCCAAGGUAACGAGCACGGGUGAGCUCCCCACCACAGCUCCCUCCAUCCCAACGGCAUGAGAGGUGCUCAGAUCCAUCACGCUGGACAACACGCUGCUCAGAUCCGUCAUGCUGGAGUCUCCUCCUCUUUCCCAUGUACUCCUUUGCUGCUCAGAGGAGGCAGUAGAAUAACUACAAAAGAAGAAGGAAUCUGAUGUCCCAACAAAGCAGAUGUGAAGAGCGCUCCAGGGAGAAAGAAGAAGGAAACAACAAUCUUGCAAACGAAUAAAGAAACAACAGCUUCAUGACAAAAAAUUUCAUGAGUGGAAAUCCUUUUUAAUGGACUGAUGGUGGGACUUGGGAGCAAAGCUCCCGGAGCGGAGGGAGUGCCAGCACAAUCGCGCGGAGCAGUUCGAACCCGGCUCCUCGCGCGGAGCGGAGUUGAGAAUCUGGAGAGCUUCCGCAGGCAGUAACUUUUGCACAAAUUUGGUUACGAGUCAUUGCUUUUUGCACAAAUUUGGUCAUGGGGUUGGCAUCAUCACUGGAAGAUGUUUCUACAUGAUGUUUCUUCUCUUCGUAUUAACAUCUUAAAAGCAUUACAAAUUCGUAACUCUUCUGCUGGAGACAUGUGGCCAUCUUCGAAUAAUGCAGCUUCAUUGGAUGGUGUGAGUUUGGUAUUCAGAUGAAUAUGUUAAUUCCAUCAAAGAAACGGCUUGAGCAGAAAUGUACAAAAGAGUAAUCAUGCAACUUGUAUUCCUGGACAUGGCUACAGCUAUGCACUAAAGUUAAACCAUUUGUGUAGCUCAGUCUAAGGACACAAAAUCUUAUCGUCUUAUGUAAAUUUUGUUAACCGUUGUAGCUAGAUGCUACUAAACACAUGUAUGGAAAUAAGCUUAUUCGUACUGAACUUUUA